CCACCCAGGCGCCCCAAGUCUUCCUAUUAUUUUCAAUUUGUCUAUUUAUUCAUGCCUUUCCCAUUAUAUUAAGUUAUAAAAUAAUUGGGUGAUUGGUGGGGCAAUCUUUUGUAAAAAGCAAGAAGUUAUAUGACCUGAAGAGAAACCAGAGUAUUGGUAGGGCAAUCUUGUGAUUUUAAUUAGUGCUGCAUUGAUGAUGAUACUGCGGAAACUGGAACACUAUUCCUUUUGGGUUUACUUAUUUAUUUUCAUGGUACGUACCUCCACUUAUUUCAGAUUUUUAAAUUUUCUGCUUCUAAUAUCCUGCAAAUCACCAGGAUAUUCUUCCAACCAGCACCGAAAGUACCUCACCUGAGGUACCAAAAGUAUCCGACAGCUUCUUAGACGGAGGAAGAUCUAUGCUUGCUCCUUACGCAUCGGAGGUUAUUUUACAAGAAGACCCACAUCACCCCCUAGUGGUCAAAGGGGCAAAUUCGUCAGCCGACCUCUGAUCCCUCCCUGCCUUCACCUGCCAGGAGCUUUGGAGGCCACAUUAGAAGUUGCCAUCAGCGUGAGACCCUGUUCCGGGAACUGACGAUACCAAAACACAGUUGUGGCUUGAAUGCCCACCGAAUGGCACUGGAUCACCACAGAGGUUCCACUCUUACGGACAGCUGUCCUUGGAUCCUGAGAGACGAGAGCACCAAGCCCAGAACCUGCUGACACAGAGGUCAAAGAGGUAAAGGAGGCCUGUACCACAGGCGGAAAACUCACGGCACCCAGAGAUUCCUGCUGUUCUGUGAAAUCUUCCUGUUAGACCCCCUAGGACCAUAAUCCCCCACCUCCCCUGCCUGGUGACUUCUCACCUUACCCUUCAUACCUCCAGAGAGCAAGAAUGUCCCCCCUCAUUUUGAUCCGCAUAAAAUAAUCCACAACCUCUGCCUACUGCUCCACUCAUGCCAUUACACACACACACACACACACACACACACACACACACACACACACUUGCCCCAACUACUCAGACUGUAAGGCUCGUACUGGGCCCCAGGAGCAGCAGAAGCAUGAGCAUCUUCAGAUACUGGCCUCAUAUCACACCUCUCACUGUAUCUCAUUCUCCCUAGAAGGAUGGACCACUGCUUAUAUAAUCCUGAAGAUGCUCCAAUCUGCCCUCUCGUGGUGAUGUUUUUUUCCAGUGAUGCAGGAUCCAUCAAAGAGCUGAAAGGGGCCUCAGAUGUUCUAAUUCUACUCCUAACUUUAUAGAACAUGCGCUAAGACCCAGAUCAUUGAAUUGACUUAAAGAAGUUUCUUAGCUUUACUCAUGAAAAAAGCUGUAUGUUUGUGCAUUAAAAGGAAUUAUCGCCUCUUCUUUACUUCUGUAACAUAUCCUCAAAGUAAGUCAGACAACUGAUGAUUGUUAGUCACUAACAAUCGUGGUGAUAAACAAUCAUGAGUGGGCAUCAGAAAUUCUAGGCUAUAAGUUCAAUGUUUCUUCAUACUGAUGAUAAAGACAAUUUCUCAUCUUCUAAAUGAAGUAUUUAUUUCACGACUAUCUCAUGCCGGUCGCCGUCAUAUGGAUGGUCUUAAUACUAAACAUAGCUAUUUAUCGUAGUUUGCACAUCUCUGUGUAAAUCACUGUGGAGGCUACGAGGAUAAUUUGUUUACAGCUAUUUCCCCAUGAUACAGGUCAUAGGCUAAGUAUUGGCCAGUGGAAAUAGGUUGUAGGAGAUUUAGGGAAUUAUUUCUGCUUUGAACAUGCUGGAAUAUUUAUUUAAAUGGCUCGUGCUUAGAAAUGUAUAGCAAUUUCAAAGAAACUGAAGAUUUUUCUCCAAAACAUUAUACUUUUAUUCUUAUAACAACCUCCCAGUUUUGCUUCAUGAAUAUUUAGUUCUGUAUAUCUGGAGUGAGUAACUAAGGAAGGUGGGAUUAGGACUUGAUCCAACAAAUUAUGUUUGUAGCAUAGUGACAUAGAUUUUUAUCAUAGUGAAUAUAAUAUUGUGUACUAAAGAUUACUAUGUGCAAAAUACUGAUGUAUGUAUUGAAGGGCAUCUGACAUGCUCUUGUGGCUGUAUUUUUUUCAUGGUGGGGGCAGACCGCAUUACGAUGAGGCCGCUUCUCACCAUAACUGUACUUUUUCUGCAAAGAGUAGGUGAAUGUGCCUUGUAAUGUAUUACGUCUGCACAACAUUAUGAUGUAUAAGGGAUGAAGUGUCUGCAGGCCCCUGGAUCAGAAGAAACUCUUUCUACUCUUCUUGAGGACCAGCAGCCAUCAGAUACAAAAAGAUAUAGACGUAAUUUUAAAAACCAACUUAGUGGAUCACUGAGGUGUCUUGUCAUUCCGCGAAGCACGUUGAUGGCAGCAGCUGCUUUGAGCGUCUGGUGAAAGUGGAAGAAAGCAGGGAGGUGAGGGCACUGAACACAGAAAGACCCUGCCACCUGGUGGGGAAGCAGGGCUUGAGAUGCACUUCUGCAUAGAGAGGAGGUGGCUGUACUUCACUGCGUCUCUACUGCUGGCACAGAGACACAGAGCUGUCUGGUUCUUUUUCGUCGAUGUCACAGUGAGAGGAAAGAAUGGCUUCUUGCCUCGAGAGACACUGUAGCCUUCAGGUAUUUUGGGGUCUGAGUGAUUCUACCAUCUGCUGUGCCUAUAGAAGAAAGGCUCUAAAAACACAGCCCAGGAGGGUGCCUGAUGCUGCUGUCAUGGGUAGAAGGACUUAGAUCUGGAGCUUAGCACCUUUGGGACAGGAAUUUGCUCCCUGACCCCAGGACUCACCUGCCCGAGGAGACAAAGAGCCACACAGCAGAUCACCUGGUGACCCAUGAUGGGAGAGGGGGCUCCCUGGAGUGCUAAGCACCUGUUGGAAGACAAAUGACGGUAGAAACUUAGCUCUGGGGAUCCCCCUGGCUUAAAAUGCAGAAGUUGUCAGAAGGCUGGAAUGGAUAAUUGGAAAGGAUCCCAGAGGUGUUCUGGGUUCUGGGUGACGCCAGCAUUCAUGGGACCUCAGAGGAAAAGAGAUUACAUGAGACAGGGUCAUAAUGGUGGAGGAAGUGCGUGCGUGGCCACGCAGCAACCCAAGGCGAGUGCGAAUAUCUUUUAAGUAUGCCAUGUUCG